rnacentral:rRNA from 1 species
UACGUAGGUGGCAAGCGUUGUCCGGAUUUACUGGGCGUAAAGAGCGCGCAGGCGGCCGAGUCAGUCGAAUGUGAAAGCCCCCGGCUCAACUGGGGAGGGUCAUUCGAUACUGCUCGGCUUGAAGAUAGGAGAGGGAAGCGGAAUUUCAGGUGUAGUGGUGAAAUGCGUAGAUAUCUGAAGGAACACCAGUGGCGAAGGCGGCUUUCUGGCCUAUUCUUGACGCUGAGGCGCGAAGGAUAGGGGAGCAAACGGG